GGAAAAGGCAGAAAUGUGCUGGCAGGCGGCAGAGUCACAACACACAGUGAAAAGAGAGUUGUUCAAACACUGUCUAAUGGACUUAAUCCACACUUCCUGCCCUUUCAGGAUAACAACUUAUUUUCAAAAGCAGUGCAAACUAAUACACAACUCCUAGGAAGAGUUAGAAAAAGUUAAAACAUCCAUCAGACUGGAACUGGUGUCAAAUAAAAGUCUCUCAAGAGGCUAGAAAGAAAAGUCCCUCCAAGGGUGGGGGAUGGAUAUUACUUUGUCACUGGGUCUAGGCCACCUCCUGCUGCGUCAGAAAUGCCACGGCCAUGGAGCAAAGUCAUGACGUGUGUUGAUCAACUUCGUACCUGCAAGUUACAUGCCAGAAGUACAGCUGCGUGUCAAUGACUAGCUUGGAUCCCAUCUGCAGGGCUUGUGAACUGCAACAGCAUGUUCUUCUGUUAGCGAUCAUAGCUUUGUCAUUCGACUUUUUGGCAAAAUACUGCAUCUUCAGCCAGGAGAAGUUGGCGAAGUACAAAAGGGCUUUUGAAGCGGAGGUUCUGAGUUAUGCUGUCGUCUACCUGGGAGUGCUUAAGUUUCUUCCUCUGCAAGAUGAUGUGGCCAAGCCCAUUAGAUUUGGUGGAGACCCUGAAGAUUUUGUUGAAGGGGCAGAAGAGGACACUUUUUGAAGAUGGAGGAAGCUUUCUUAGGCUAUAGGAAGAGAAGGAGCCUUAGACAGAGAUGUCAGAGGAUGCACAAAAGACCUUUCUACUUGUCUACUAUGAGACACAGUUGAGAUGACAAAAAAAAGUAAAGGAAUAGGCAAAGAUUAAGAGUUCCCAAGGCUUUCCCUCAGUUUGAAAAUGGAAGCAGAGAUUAACCAUACCUUGUCAAAGCUGCGCUUCCAAGACACUGGAGUUCUGCUCAUAGAUGAGUGGCUUAUUUUCUGAAAACUUAAUACUGUGAGUAUCUUUCUAGGGUGAUACUGUUGAAGAUGGGUACUCGAACUGCUGGCAAGUUUUGAUGGCCUUGAAAGAUGUUGCUUCAGAAGCACUGAUUUAUGCAGGAAGUAAACCUAACAGAUCUCUCCCUUCAAAAAUGUGAGAGAGUGGCAAAUAUUUGCCGUAUCAUACCAUCAUAAUUUAUUUGUAGUAAUUGGUUGGUCAAAGCCCCCCUUAAAUAAAGAAAGUGCCCUGACUAGCAGCAGCAUUGGCACAUGUGGGAGGUAUUUAUUUCAUAG
rnacentral:lncRNA from 1 species